rnacentral:rRNA from 1 species
UACGGAGGGGGCUAGCGUUGUUCGGAAUUACUGGGCGUAAAGCGCGCGUAGGCGGCUAUACGAGUCAGAGGUGAAAUCCCGGAGCUUAACUCCGGAACUGCCUUUGAAACUGUAUGGCUGGAGUGUGUGAGGGGAUAGCGGAAUUGCUAAUGUAGAGGUGAAAUUCGUAGAUAUUAGCAGGAACACCGGUGGCGAAGGCGGCUAUCUGGCACACAACUGACGCUGAGGUGCGAAAGCGUGGGGAUCAAACAGG